CAGAUGUUUCUGCUGGCUCAUUUAGACUGCUUAUCCUCACAUUCCUCUCAGCUGAUGAGGUGCCCUUCUAUGUUACAAGGAAUUCCUUUUACAUCACAGUGGUAGAGCUGGUUAAAAACACCAUCUGCUCUCAUAAAUGCCUGGACUGUGUUUAGCCACACUAUUCAAAAACUUGAGAAUAGCUACUGAAAGCUGGAGAUGAACCAUUGAAGUACACUGGAUGACAUCCGAACACAUCCAACAGUUAAGUGAAGGACCAAGUACUAUAAAAAGUCAAGGCAGGAGCAACAUCACUCAAACACGCUUAUGAGGAAACAUCAUGACACCCUGUGACGCACUGCUGAACUUUUGGGGACUGGAGAGCAUGAAUCAGAAGCGCUACUGGUCCUUGAAAAAGAUACGCCUCGAGAAAGAACAUCAAGUACUGGCCCAACAGAACCGUGAAGGGGACUGCCACUGAUUGCCUUUAUUGUUUUGACAUCCCAUAUUGCGGCGGAUGUUGUGUAUGCGUCGCGAUGUGCAUUGUGUCUUGGGCCACCAGGUUGCAGGGGCUCACCCCCUACCUGCUCAGUCAUUGGUUCAUGCUGUGAAGGGGUGGAGUGUAGUGGAAUUCCAGGGUCACAGCCUGAACCAAUGGGUGGGCUCUGUGAGUGUGUGAGUGCGGCGGCGCGGCAGUACGAGCGGGGGAGGGACACAUUCCUCAGCUCGGCUCUGCCUGCGUGCUGCUACCGGGAGGGGUGAGUCGAUUCUUUUUGAUAUCUUUCCCUCGUGUGCCUAUUUCUUAAAUAAAGGCUUUGUCAUUACCUUCAUUUGCUCUACAGCUACAUAUUACCUACAAAAAAUAAUCCACAGAAAGGAGAUCAGUGACUCUUUCCCAUGGCCUGAGGAAGCUCUUGGAAUUAUAUGGACAGAAGUAGAAGAGAGUCACUUCCUUGGCCUGUCCUAUAGCCACAGAGACUCCUGUUGCAUUUUCCAAGCUGCAAACUAAGGACUAAGCAACCUCUGCCCUUCCUGCAGCCAGCACUCCCCUGAUGUAGUCCAGUGUGUGUACAGGGAACCUUGGACAGCUCUUAGCUCUCUCACCCACUGCUCCUUUCUGUACUCAGCCCAAACACAGAAACCAGAUCACACAAGUUUUCAGACCACAGAUCACAUGUUCUAGCUCUUUUGUACAACACAUGUCCAGAGACAGUUUAAUAAUACUUUCAUCAGAGACUUACAGGCACUUACAUAAAUGGUUCAGCUUUCUCAGCUGUAGGCACCAUUUUUGACAGAACUCAUCUUAGUAUAUUCACAUGAAAUACAGAAAUGAGUUGAAGUAUUUGUGUCUUUAAAAUGAGGAGAAGAAAAAGCCAGUCUGAACUCAAAUACCUUGGCUUACCAAUAUCACAUUUUUUUUUUUUUAACUAUUUACAGACAUUUUAAAAACACUACUUACAUGCCCCAAAAUGAUGCUUUUAAACAUAAUUCCAACUACAGUUAGCUCAAAUUAUCUAAGCUUUUUUUUCCCCCGAGUAUAGCAAAGUAAUGCCUCUCAAAUUUAAUUUACAUAAUAAUUAAGCUAGAUUUCUCUGAAGACUCAUACAAUAUAAUCCCUAUUUUAUCAAUAAAUAGAUGGUUGUUGCAUAUUUUACAAUUUAUACAGAAUUGUAUGGAAUGUACUAAAGGAUAUUAACUAUGGCAUCACUUACUGACCACAUCAUACAAAUAUCACUUGUGGGUUAGAGCUCAUGAGAUUUUAAGGAGUUUUUAAAAACAUUUAUCAAUAAAUAAACAAAAUACUUUUUACGGAGUCUGAAAAUUAAGAAAUUGAGAUUGAGGAUGUGGUGCAUCAGGAAUUAUGAUACAGGAUACAAAAUCAUUCUUCCAUUGAAUGCCACUGAUCUGACAGUUUUUUAUAAUGCAGAAAAUAGCUUUUGUACCUGAAACUUGUCAAUGCCAUCAACAGAGACAAGUGAGGCGUUAUCAGAUGGACAUAGCAUGGAAUGCCUUUUCUGUUUAAGGUCUAAGGAUACAGUUUGCACAUGGAAGCCUAUCAGUAAUUGUAGCUGUGGAACUAUUCAUUUCACAGGUUACAUUGGUACUGCUCAAAAUUAUCUCAUCCCAAUGUUUUCCUACAGUCAGUGAAAAUCAUAGCCUGAAACAAUUUAAACCUUUUGAGGGAAACAACAACAAAGUACAACAGAAGAACCCCCCUCUAACCUACCUCAACUCUUUCACCCAUAUGAAUGAGUAGAGUAUUUGCUAUGAGCAUAUUACAGUUCAAAGGAGUUUUUUUCUUCAGAAUUAUCCAUCAUCAACAUUUCACUAAUUUGCACAAUCAUCCUAACUCCAUAAGCAUACUCCUCCUGGUGCAGAGACAAAUUCAGACAAAGGAGAUCACCUUCAAAAACCAUUAAAAAGUUGGGGAGAUGAGUCAACAUUUGUAUAUUUUUGAUCUUUCUAUAAUUUUAGAUUAAAGAGGACUGUUUAUUUCCACACAAAAUUGAGAUCACUGGUCUGACUGGUUUCACAGAGCGUUUCAGAUAAACUACAUUUUCUUUACACUACAUGCUACAGCUUCCUUUGGUGGGGAGAAAAACAGAAUGACAGUAGUGAAGGGAACACAGCCCAUAUUCCAGUCUGAUACAUUACUAAGCCACACUUCCACUGUUUGCAAUAUUAUUAGAAGUGCUGUUUCGCACAGUCACUGGUGCCAGAGGACUCAAAAUCAAAUCUGAAGUCAUUAUAUAAAAAUGAUACUGCAGAACUCAAUUUUAACUUCAUUAAAGUAACAAAAUAGCUGACAAAUGGAGCCAUCCACUCUGAUGUGUCUCAGCUUCAAAUAACGCAUAAAACAAUUGGAAACUCAGCCUUAGGGCUGCUGCUGCUGCUUUAAAGUAGUCAGUAGUACUGACAGAGUUAAAAACACUGAAAUGUAACACUACAGAAUUAAAAAGUUAACAAUAAGUCAUGAACCUAACUAAAAUGCAGGUUGAAGUCAAAAGAACAUGAUUAAGACUACAUGGAACCUUGAGCAGUGUUUGAAAGGGAAAGAUGAAGUCUUUUGUUAGGACAGCACAAAGCAAGGACAGCACAGCGUCCCCAGAAGGAUUACACAGCCCUGAAUGAUUUCAGGAAGUUAUGAAAUAAUUUUAGCAAAGAACAACACACAGCACAUACAUUUAAUAAAUUUUCAUCAACUGGCAAACUAUAACAUUAUCAACCUGUUUUUUCUACCCAUUUAUAAAACUGAUCAAACCCACUUCAGAGCAUGUACAUCCUAAAAUCUGCUGUGGCAUAUAUCUUAUUUCUGCAUCCUGUAACUUUAAUUAUUUUAAACUUGCAUCUAAAUAGCUGAAGACAAAAGCUUCAGAACAUGACUUUCACAGUGUAAAACACUGCUGCUUAUUACAGAGUAAACCAAAUUCAGGUUGUAUUUUCCUCUUCAAUAUCUGAUCUUUUAAACUACUCACGUGCUUUACAAGCUUCAGAUAAACUACAUUUGUUAUUUGUUACCUCUAGAAACAAGAAGUCAAAUAUCUGUCCUUUCUUUGAAAGCUUUUUGUGUACUCCUUAUACAGCAUUGGCCUAUCAAGAAAGUAGUCCAGGCUUGGUUGUAGCAUUGCUUCAACAUCAUCAACAGGAAAAAAAAAAAAAAAACCCAACACAAAAAGCUCUUUCCUUAUUAAAAUUAAUAACAAUAACUAGCCAUCUCUGGAAAACCACAGGAAUUAGAAAUUUUAAACCAACCAGUUUGACAGCAUCCUCUAAUUUCACUGCCUUCUACACAGGCCAUUCUGACUUCACAACUCAAAUAUAUGUUUAAGGGGAAGAAAAGCACACUUCUAAACUACAAGCAAGAUUUUAAAUUAGUCAAAAGUAUUCAUAUUUUAUUCCUUUCAGUCUAUUUGUACUAUUAAAAAUACCACUGUUCCAAUUUCACAUUAAUCUAAUUUAUACAGACUUAAUAAUUGAUGUAGCACAUUUCCUUUUCAAAUAUUGUUCAUACCCCUGUCCCACAGGCUUUUCAAAAAUAUGCAUAUGGCUUAUAGUUUCCAUAAAGUCACAUGACAUACUUUAAGGAUAUCUCCUAUCAAAAAUUGAGGGCUUACUCCAAAUCUGACAGCUUACUCCAAUCUGACAGGAUCCCAAAAAACACUCCUCUAGGAAGAAUUUAAGCUUAUUAGUACUCUUUUACUAGAUUGUUCAAAAAAAAAAAGUACCUUUUCUGCUCAAGUGUUCAUCUAUUUCUUCUCUCAUGCAACACUUGAAGUCACAGUUCUGUUUAUGAGACUGCAAUCAAUUCUUCAGUAGUCAAUUAGAGUAUCUCAAAGGUGUAGGUUUUGGUGAAUAAUAAAGCAAUCAAUUUGAGCUCCUGCAGUCUUGUUCUUAUUUUAGUAUUUCUGAUAAUUACAAAAUAAAUACUCAGAAAGCCAGUUCCUACAUCAUAUUUUAUUAGUGGGAUCAAAGGCAGACUUCUAACACAAGCACUGCUAGCUGAGUUGUCACUGUAAUACUCACUGCAGAUUAAUCAAGAACAAUUUUACCUGCACCAGUGUUCACUGCAGUUCUAGAACACAAGAGAACUCUGCCAGAAGUUUUGAUUUAUGCUGACUGUUCAGUGGCCUGCUGGGAUUCUUACUCAAGUAAGAAAUAAAAUGAAAAAAUUGUUGCCAAUGAGAAAAAAAAAUACUAUAAUUGCAAUUUUUUUUAAGGUAAUGUUUCAGAAUUUCAAACACAAAAAACACCAAAUAGAUAUUAAGAGAAAUAUUACAGAAACUUCAAAGCUAAUAUAUGAUGGAAACAUAUAUAUUAAUUAGCAUCUAAUUCUUUUCCUUUGGUACUUAAAUCUGCAGCAUUACAGUCAUUUUACCAAAAUCAGAAAUCAGACAUGUUGCUUGGUUUCCAUAACCACUUUCUCUUACUAAUCCAAAAUGUACUCCUGAACCCAUAAGAUAGAGCAUGAUCCUCACAGGUGAAUAUUUAUAGAGAAUAAUGAUGGAAUCUGGUCGCAUUUUGAUAAAAAUUGUGCUGAAAGAGUCGCCUGAUGUUCUCAAUGAAGACAGCAGCAGUACAAUUACCUUGUAGUAACUUCUUUUAACACUAAAAACUGACAUGAAAUUGUCUUCAUGAAAUCCUUUCAUUAUUCCCUGGAACAAUGCUUGAGGCAUUAUGCCUGAUUCUGUCAUUAUCACAGCUCUACAUCUUAUUAAUGUAAACCAGGAGUAGAAAGAGAGAUGGUGAAUGAUAUUAAAAUCUGCCAUUUUGAGAAUAAUGUUCCAAAACAGAUCAAAGUGCUUGGAUGAUGCCUCCCAGUUCUCGCAGCUUUCAGUAUCAGUUUAUAAUGUCACCAACAAUUUCACUGCAUAGAAUCAAAAAAAGGCAGGUCCUCCUGUUCUCCAUUUUGGCUCAUUGAGAAGAUGUAGCUCAUCAGAAUGUUGAGCCCGGUCCAUUGUUUCAAUUGCUUUAAAGCAAGAAAAAGAAGCAUCCUUCCUAAAUUAUUCCUCUUUGCCUCAUGCAUUUCGGCUCUGCAUCUCUAACACUAGAAUCCCAAACUAUUUCCUCAUAUUACAUGCAGCCUGGCAGAAGCAAAAAUACAGUUAUUAUUUUCUAUGUAGUUUUCACAACACAAAAGCAUUAAAGCUGCUCUUGUGAAAAGAUAUUCUCAAAAGCAAUUUAGUUUACAGUGCUUUUCUUCCACUUCUUGUCUCCUUUCUACACUUUUUGCAGUUACCCAGCUAAAGAGGAGAACGUGCCAGCUCCAUCUAGUUCAUAGAUUACAGCUAUCCUUUGGAAGCAGAGAUCAGGAAUAACUCAUGGAGAAUGGGAAAACUCAGAUCAAGUCAAACAUUAAAGAUUAUAAUACAUUACCAUCAAAAUUGAAGCACAGAGAAUAAAUUAGUUUGGGAAAGCAAUGCCCAAUCAGCUGACAUUGUACAGAGAGUAAGAACCCCCUACUUGUUCAUUCUUAUACCUUUUAUGAGUAAUAAGAUUUCAAAAAUAAACUCUAGUGGCGCAGAAUAAUACUUCAGUAUAUAUUUGUAUGAACUAAUUUCUAUUCUCUUCAUAAGUUAUGUACAGUUAUAUUGACUUAUUGUUUCUGUCUCCUGGCUAGUUAUCCUCUUUCCCUCUGUGUAUAUUUUACUACUCAAGACAGUAAGAAAGAUAUAAAAAGCUAGGUAAGAAAAUUACAUACAACUGAUAUUUUAUAUAAUCAAAGAAUUGUUUGAAUUGGAUGGCCAUCUGGUCCAAAUCCCCGGCAAUCAACAGGAAUAUCUACAGCUAAAUCAGGUUGCUCAGAGCCCCCAUCAGCCUGAUCUUGAGUGUCUAAAGGGAUAGGGCAUCCACCACCUUUCUGGGCAAUCUUUUUCCCGUGCCUCACCACCCUCACUGUAAAACACUUUCUUUAUAUCCAACCUGAAGCUCCCCUCUUUUAGUUUGAAACCCUUUUCCCUUUUCCUGUCACAAAAGACCCAGCUAAAGAGUCUGUCCCCAUCCUUCUUAUGGAUCCCCUUUACAUACUGAAAGACUACUCUCAGGUCUCCCCAGAGCCUUCUCUUCUUCAGGCUGAACAACCCCAGCUCUCCCAGUCUGUCCUCAUUGGGAAGGUGGUUCCAUCCCUGGGAUUAUUUUUGUGGACCCCCUCUGGACGUGCUCCAGCAGGUCCAUGUCUCUCUUGUCCUGAGGACUCCACAUCUGGCCACAGUACGCCAAGUGAGGCCUCACCAGUGCAGAGUAGAGAGCAGCUGUAUGAUUUCCCUCCACCUGCUGACCACACUGCUUUGGAUGCAGUCCAGGAUGUGGUUGGCUAUUUUUUUUUUUUUUUAAACCUUGCUAAGCUUCCAAUUUCUAAAUCAUCUCAGUAUUUACUGUUUUAUUUAAUUAUUCCUAUUCAUUUACAUUCUGGAAUACUAUUACCUAAACAUCUUCAUCCUUUAUUAUAUAAAAAAAACAUGAAUCUAAGUUGACAACAUACAUCAUUAUGGAUUAAGCCAAAAUUUCUAGAUGCUUUUUCAUUAACUGACUACUUCAAUUCUCAGUAGUCACCAGUAAUUCAUUUACUUUCUUAAAAAAAAAAAAUUAAUUUCUCAGCUGUCCAAAUUCUAACGUCAUCUGCUAAAUUUUCCAUUAUCUGACCUUCAUAAAGACUGUUUUACAUUCAGUUUUCUAGCAUGUAUUCAGCAUACUAAACAGCUUCAAAUUCUUAUUCAAGUUUUUACAAGUCAGGAAAAUUAUGAACGUAAAUGAAAAACAGGCAAGGAACAUACAGAUUAAGCCAAUGUUCCUACACUUAUGUCAUACUUAAAUAUUUGUAAAUAAGUAAACCUAGACUCUGGAAGUUUAAAAGAGGGUACCCGAAAUGUAUGGUUAUCAGAUAAGAGCAUUAGUUCUCUUACACUUGCUUAACCUGAAAACACAAGCUCUCAGGUAAAAUCUUAAUGAAGCAUUCUGCAAGGACAGAUUCAGAAACAAUGCAAAAGAGAUGAGAAAUGGCUUGUUCAUUGACCACUCCAUAGAUUCUCAGUAAAUUAGACAAACAUUAUAACAAUAAAUACCAUGUUUAAACUUAGUUUAAGAAUUUACCAGCCCUUUAAACAUUUCCUAUCAACAGAUAUUUCUAUCUUCAUCUGGCAGAAGGCUGUUGUAUUUUCAUUAAAGUGUCUUUCAGGAGGCCAGGAAAGAUAAUGACAACAGUUCUGUGUUAAUGACAGCCAUCACGAUUCUGUGUCAAGAAAAUCACUGAAAAAUCACAGCAAAUAAUUUUCAAGAAAACCUUGUUUAUGUUGUGAUCUAUUGCAUACUGUCCUUUAUCCUGUGAUUAAAAAAAAAAUCUACAGAUUACAUUGAAUCAUGACCCACAGUGAAGUCAUAUUUUCACAACAAAUAAAAUACCUGAUUCUAAAUGGAAGGAAAAGCUUUUGAUUGCUAUUUAGCUAUCAAUUCACUGUAAGAAUGACAGCACCCAUUGACUAUCAGUGAUGACAGACUGCUGGUACUAAAAUCUGAUUCCUGAAAAUGAAUUUCAGGAUCUACUUCACAAGGUUUCAGUUUCUCAAGAAGAGAAAAAAAAAUAAAACAAAAAACAAAGAACUUUCUCCUGGAGCUAGCUGUAAUUUCUUACUAAUCAAAGUAAUGAGUUAAUGUUUGCUUUAAUUUCAGCAGUCUGUCAGAGCUUCUGGGUUAAAUGUUUAUUCAAAUGAGCUUAAUUAUGUAUUUUAGCAAAAAAAAAUAUGCUAUGAGCUGCAAUUUCACACAAGAAGCUUGGAUUUGGGACACUUAAGUGAUUGCUGGAUUAAAUUGCUUCAACAUAACAUAUGUAAGUGAGCAGCAUGUCUCACGUGUUUCAUAAUAACUUAUUUGUAGGUUGACUAACUCAUCCAUUCUUCUGCAAAGACAGUGAGUCUUCUUACAUUCAUCUCGAUGCCUAUGACUUCCUCCUGAAGCUUUGCAGCUUUAUACGUUUUGAAACAUCUUUCCAAUAUGCUCUAUGUGAUAAUUUCUCUUAUAGUGAGGGAAAGUUAUGGGCACAUUAAAGAAGCAGUGGUUCUGUGCAGCUUGGGGCUGCACAUUUCCACCAUUCAGCUACACCAACAAAAACAAAACACCUUAUAUAAACUCAAUUUUUGAUUGGUCAGGUAACAAGCAACCUUCCUGCAUUUCUCUUGCAGAUGAGUAAAGCCAAACCAAAUAAUAGCCUUGCUCCCUUUUCAGUUUUCUUUCUAGUUCCCUAGACAGAAGUCACCCUGAGACAACUAGUGCCUUGAGAAAAGACAGUAGUAGUACAGAGGGAAAAGAUCUAGAGAACUAUCAAUGGUAACAUCUCACUUAAGAACUAUGUGUUAUUAUUUGCUUUUAAGAGAUGAUGGUUUCUUCCUUCAUAAGAAAGGGUAAAAGUUGACAUGCGUUUGCAUACAGCAGUCUUGAAUACAAAGUCCUGCUACAGAUAAUCUUUGUUCCCUAACACAAUUCACAGAUACGUAGGAAAUUUUACAUUCCCAGAAUCUUUUGAUAACAGCUGAUUGAUAAGACAUUUCCUCCUUCUGUUAAAAUGUGUUUAUAGCCUGGAAAGUGGGUCAAAAUCUAGUAAGAAACAGCAUGCUGAAAUAAAAUUAAAAAGUCGCUGCACAAAUUUAAGAAAGUAGAACACUCACAAUCAAAUAGCUGUACUCUUUCUGGGUCAUUUUUCAGAUAAAAAGGAGGUACAGUUACAGUUGUGAAAAUACAUUCUAAGGAAUAAUCCCCCAGUCAGUAGACCAGUGCCUUCUAUGUUAUACUAAGCACAGUAAUUGCACCAUCACCAGCCUGUAACUACUGUGCUUUCAUUUUAUUUUACCACACAAUAAGCAAUAGAAAACUCACUAACUCAGGAUAUGCUGCAUGACUCUGCCAAAACCUUUGCUUAAGACGACAAAUUAAUUUAAAAAAAAUCUUAUCAAAAUUUAGAUUUUCUUCAUCAAGCUUCUACAAUACACUGUUCACAUGUUAUAUUUCAUAUGAAAUAGAAAUAGUUUGUUGAGCUAGUAAUAUUUAGAUUGGAGUAAUAAAACUUUGUUCAUUGGGUCCAUGCUAAUAAAUGAAGACUGAUUUCAGGAACCGUUUGCUUGUCACUAGUUCAGGCACCACUAUAUUGCACAAAAUUAUGUCUGUACAUUCUGAUUAACUGCUCCUUAAUCUAACAAAGCUAAACAUACUCGAGAUCUAG
ensembl:lncRNA